GAAAGUAAAAUCGUAACAAGGUUUCCGUAGGUGAACCUGCGGAAGGAUCAUUAUUGUAUAACCGAGGUGCGAGGGCUGUCGCUGACCCGAAAGGUCGUGCACGCCCGAGUGCCCUCACACACAUCCAUCUCACCCCUAUGUGCACCACCGCGUGGGUCCCCCUUUGGCUUGUUCGGAGGGGGGCUUACGUUUUCACACAAACUUUGUAUGCAGUGUAGAAUGUAUUUUUUGUUUUUGCGAUCACGCAAUCAAUACAACUUUCAACAACGGAUCUCUUGGCUCUC
rnacentral:misc_RNA from 1 species